UACGAGGGGGGCAAGCGUUGGUUCGGAAUUAUUGGGCGUAAAGGGGUGCGUAGGCGGUCUGACAAGUCUGAUGUGAAAUCUAUGGGCUCAACCCCAUAGUCUGCAUCGGAAACUGUCGGGCUGGAGUAUGGGAGAGGUGAGUGGAAUUUCCGAUGUAGCGGUGAAAUGCGUAGAUAUCGGAAGGAACACCUGUGGCGAAAGCGGACUCACUGGACCAUUACUGACGCUGAUGCACGAAAGCUAGGGGAGCAAACAGG
rnacentral:rRNA from 1 species